rnacentral:rRNA from 1 species
UACGGAAGGCAGCAGUGGGGAAUAUUGCACAAUGGGCGAAAGCCUGAUGCAGCUAUGCCGCGUGUAUGAAGAAGGCCUUAGGGUUGUAAAGUACUUUCAUCGGGGAGGAAAAAACAAAACUAAUAAUUUUAUUUCUUGACGUUACCCGAAAAAGAAGCACCGGCUAACUCCGUGCCAGCAGCCGCGGUAAUACGGAGGGUGCUAGCGUUAAUCAGAAUUACUGGGCGUAAAGAGCACGUAGGUGGUUUUUUUAAGUCAGAUGUGAAAUCCCUGGGCUUAACCUGGAACUGCAUUUUGAAACUGAAAUACUAGAGUAUCGUAGAGGGAGGUAGAAUUCUAGGUGUAGCGGUGAAAUGCGUAGAUAUCUGGAGGAAUACCUGUGGCGAAAGCGGCCUCUAAACGAAUACUGACACUGAGGUGCGAAAGCGUGGGGAGCAAACAGGGAUUAGGAUACC